AUUGAACGCUGGCGGCAGGCCUAACACAUGCAAGUCGAACGAGUGGCGGACGGGUGAGUAAUGUCUGGGAAACUGCCCGAUAGAGGGGGAUAACUACUGGAAACGGUAGCUAAUACCGCAUACCAUCGGAUGUGCCCAGAGGGGAUUAGCUAGAAGGUGGGGUAACGGCUCACCUAGGCGACGAUCCCUAGCUGGUCUGAGAGGAUGACCAGCCACACUGGAACUGAGACACGGUCCAGACUCCUACGGGAGGCAGCAGUAGGGAAUAUUGCCCAAUGGGCGCAAGCCUGAUACAGCCAUGCCGCGUGUAUGAAGAAGGCCUUCGGGUUGUAAAGUACUUUCAGCGAGGAGGCGUUACUCGCACAAGAAGCACCGGCUAACUCCGUGCCAGCAGCCGCGGUAAUAC
rnacentral:rRNA from 1 species